GUGUCAGCAGCCGCGGUAAUACGUAGGGUGCGAGCGUUGUCCGGAAUUACUGGGCGUAAAGAGCUCGUAGGCGGUUUGUCGCGUCGUCUGUGAAAACUCGCAGCUCAACUGUGGGCGUGCAGGCGAUACGGGCAGACUUGAGUACUGCAGGGGAGACUGGAAUUCCUGGUGUAGCGGUGAAAUGCGCAGAUAUCAGGAGGAACACCGGUGGCGAAGGCGGGUCUCUGGGCAGUAACUGACGCUGAGGAGCGAAAGCGUGGGUAGCGAACAGGAUUAGAUACCCCAGUAGUCC
rnacentral:rRNA from 1 species